UGCCUGUGAUGACAAAUUACUUUUCUGACACCUACUAUGACAGCUGUUGUCAGCUUGUGAUUCUACAUUUUAUCCUGAGGCUU